CAACGUGGGGAACCUGUCCUCCAGUCGGGGAUACCCGCUCGAAAGGGCGGCUAAUACCGGAUGCGUUCUUGGGGUCGCGAGAUCUUGAGAGGAAAGGCGGCGAAAGCUGUCGCUGGUGGAGGGCCUUGCGGCUUAUCAGCUAGUUGGUGAGGUAAUGGCUCACCAAGGCUAUGACGGGUAGCUGGUCUGAGAGGACGACCAGCCACACGGGGACUGAGACACGGCCCCG
rnacentral:rRNA from 1 species